rnacentral:rRNA from 1 species
GACGAACGCUGGCGGCGUGCUUAACACAUGCAAGUCGAACGAUGAAGCCAGCUUGCUGGUGGAUUAGUGGCGAACGGGUGAGUAACACGUGGGUGAUCUGCCCCAAACUUUGGGAUAAGCCUGGGAAACUGGGUCUAAUACCGAAUAUGACCGAUACUCGCAUGGGUGUUGGUGGAAAGCUCCGGCGGUUUGGGAUGGGCCCGCGGCCUAUCAGCUUGUUGGUGGGGUAAUGGCCUACCAAGGCGACGACGGGUAGCCGGCCUGAGAGGGCGACCGGCCACACUGGGACUGAGACACGGCCCAGACUCCUACGGGAGGCAGCAGUGGGGAAUAUUGCACAAUGGGCGCAAGCCUGAUGCAGCGACGCCGCGUGAGGGAUGACGGCCUUCGGGUUGUAAACCUCUUUCACCAGGGACGAAGCGAGAGUGACGGUACCUGGAGAAGAAGCACCGGCCAACUACGUG